GAUUUUGUAGCUCAGUCGGUAGAGCACUUGACUUUUAAUCAAGGGGCCCUGGGUUCGAGUCCCAGCAAAAUCA
rnacentral:tRNA from 1 species